rnacentral:ncRNA from 2 species
AUUACAAUUGGAAGCUGUGAAGAAUUCGUUUAUUUGGGCAUAUUAAGAAUUUGGAGCUAGUUGUGCAACCGGCCAAUUAAAAC